AGUGAACGCUGGCGGUAGGCCUAACACAUGCAAGUCGAACGGCAGCACAGUAAGAGCUUGCUCUUACGGGUGGCGAGUGGCGGACGGGUGAGGAAUACAUCGGAAUCUACUUUUUCGUGGGGGAUAACGUAGGGAAACUUACGCUAAUACCGCAUACGACCUACGGGUGAAAGCAGGGGAUCUUCGGACCUUGCGCGAUUGAAUGAGCCGAUGUCGGAUUAGCUAGUUGGCGGGGUAAAGGCCCACCAAGGCGACGAUCCGUAGCUGGUCUGAGAGGAUGAUCAGCCACACUGGAACUGAGACACGGUCCAGACUCCUACGGGAGGCAGCAGUGGGGAAUAUUCGACAAUGGGCGCAAGCCUGAUCCAGCCAUACCGCGUGGGUGAAGAAGGCCUUCGGAUUGUAAAGCCCUUUUGUUGGGAAAGAAAAGCAGCAGGUUAAUACCCCGCUGUUCCGACGGUACCCAAAGAAUAAGCACCGGCUAACUUCGUG
rnacentral:rRNA from 1 species